rnacentral:misc_RNA from 1 species
GAUGAAGAACGUAGCGAAAUGCGAUACUUGGUGUGAAUUGCAGAAUCCCGUGAACCAUCGAGUCUUUGAACGCAAGUUGCGCCCGAAGCCAUCAGGUUGAGGGCACGUCUGCCUGGGCGUCACAUAUCGUUGCCCAAUGCCUAUUGCAGUGCAAUAGGAAUUUCUAGGGCGAAUGAUGGCUUCCCGUGAGCGUUGUUGCCUCGCGGUUGGUUGAAAAUCGAGUCCUUGGUAGGGUGUGCCAUGGUAGAUGGUGGUCGAGUUAGAACGAUACCGAUCAUGUGCAUGCUCCCCAAAAUAUGGCCUCUAUGACCCACACGCGUCUUUUGACGCUCAUGACGAGACCUCAGGUCAGGCGGCGCUACCCGCUGAAUUUAAGCAUAUCAAUAAGCGGAGGA